AAAUUGAACAAAAAAACUGUUGCCUCAUAACAAUUUUUUUUGUUUGUGCUGUUCCACAAGUUUUUGGGAAGAGGAUAGGAAGAAAGUUUUGGAUUGUGGAUGAAAAAUUACCCAAGUUUUGGCUCUGAUACCACUUUGAUGCAGGAUGAGGGAUGAUUCCUGCAGAAUAAUUAGAAAUAGCAAAAUAGCACAACUAGCAAGUAGAAUUCCAGCGAGAAGAAGAAGAAGGCAGCAAGAAGGGGAAAAGGGUCGGAGANUAGAGGUUUCAAAGGUUCACAACCAAGAAUAACUUCAAAGGGUUUUAGACCUAAAGACCAGUUCACAGGAUCGUUAUAUGCAAUUUGAACAAUUGGAGGGAUCAAGUCCCAAUUUUCAAGAUUUUCCUGGACUAGAGACUGUAAUAAAUUGUCAGGAUUUUGGUUAGUACUUUUGUUUUGACCAUCAAUUUGAGGUUGGUCAGUGGUGGAUAAUUUUGCCUUAGUAUUAACCACAGGCAACCGGAUUUUCCAAGGGUGAUUGGUGACAUCGUCAAGCUCUUUAACUUGGGUAAGGGUAUGACAUAUAACAUGUGAUUGAGAAUUGUCAGAGAUAAGGGGUAUAUUAUCCAAAGUCUUGGGAAGAGUCUGGAUUUCACCUAAGGAAGUGUCCUCACUAUCAUCCAAAUCAUCAAAAUCUUCAAGUUUAGGUUCAUGACUAGAUCUUCCAACGGCUUCUCUAUUACAUUCUUUCGUUUUUCCAUGACUAAGGUUCGAUUAGGACAUUUAGAAGAAAUGUGACCAAAGUCUUUACAGUUAACGCACAACAAGUUAGAAGAAGACCUUGGAGUUUUAGAAAUUCUACCCUGAUUUUCCAAGAUUGAAGAACCAUUAGAAGGGGGAGGUCCUAGAAGGGACUUAACGGAAGGAGGUGGAGCCAAUGAAGCCAAAUGAUGAUUAUCAAAAAUUUUACCCUUAUUUUCAAAAUUGGAGGAACAUCAGACGGGGGAGGUCCUAGAAGGGACUUAGCGGGAGGAAGUGGAGCCAGUGACACCGAAGGAUGAUUGUCAAUAUGCCUUCUACCUGGAGAAGAAGAUCUUGGACUAUCACGACCUUUACAAUUAUUUUUCCAAAUAGGAGAAACAUUAGAUGGAGAAGGUUUUAUGAUGGACUUAUGAUGAGGCGACGCUAAUAAGAUGGGUGAAUGACGAUGACCACGCUUUUUAUAUGGAGUACUAAUAAUCAACUCAUAAUCUCGAGCUAAAGAGUAAGCGUGAUUAAGAGUAGUGACGCCUCGAAGGAAAAGCUCGCGCUUAAGAUCAUCUCUUAGACCUUGGCUAAACCUACUCAAAGUCGUGCUCUCAUUCUCAAUUAAAUGACAUUUGGUUCGAAAUUCCUCAAAUUGCGCGAUAUACUCAGUCACUAAUUGAUUUCCUUGUUUAAGGGCAUUCCAUUGAGUAAGAAUUUCAAAAUUAUCUCGUUCUCGCUCACGAAUUUGAUCCCUAUUCCUAUCCCUAUCCUUACGAUCGGGUCGAAAGUAUUUUUGAUUACCUUGUCGACGAUGUUGUCUAUUAUGGGACACCUUAGAAUUAUCAAAUCAAUCGAAUGAGGGAUGUGUUUAAAAUUUUUCAAACUAACAGAUAGGGCCUUACUCUCUUCAAGAGUAGCGGUCAUUUGAGUUUGAAUAGCCGCUAUUUGUCGAGUGAGUGCAUCGAAUUGUGAGGGGUUCAUGUUUAAGGUACUAGAGUUAGAAGUGACAAGAUGACCAAUAUGUAACUACAUGUACUGUAAUAGCAACUUAAUGACAUGCAAUAGAGAGAUCAACGAACAAAAAGUGCAAGUAAUGGAAAAUGAAAAUUUGAGCUUUUUUUUUAAAUUUAAAUUUUGGGACUAAAAUUAUAUACAACAAGUUAGUACUGCUUGUAUAUGUAAAAUAAUAAAGCAAUGGUCAAAUACUAGUCAAAAUCUAAUCACGUAAAAUAAGUAGGUUAAAGUGAGAUUUAACGAGGUCAAUGGAUCCAAUUACGUGAGUUUAGAUAAAAAUAGAUCAGCGGCAACACAAAAAUUUAAUUGAUGCAAUUUCAAAAUGAAACAGUAAUAUAAACCAACAAUAAAUAAAAGCAAGAACUUCCCUUUCGUUCGUCGAAGUAGUCAAGCCAGAUCAACUAGAAUAAAAGAUGUACCUGUAAAUAAUAGAAAAGACGUUUCUUCUCUCUCUUUUUUUUCACUUUUUUUUCCUGUAGAAAAUGAUAAAUAAAAAAUAAAAAUAAAAAUAAAAGAAAUUUCGGGUGUGAACAGUAUCGAUUUUUCUUCUCUUUUUUUUUUUUUUUUUUUUUUUUUUUGCCUAAUCAACUAGAAAGAAAAUUGAACAAGAAAACUACUGCCUCAUAACAAUUUUUUUUAUUUGUGCUGUUCCACAAGUUUUUGGGAAGAGGAUAGGAAGAAAGUUUUGGAUUCUGGAUGAAAAAUUACCCAAGUUUUAGCUCUGAUACCACUUUGAUGCAGGAUGAGGGAUGAUUCCUACAGAAUAAUUAGAAAUAGCAAAAUAGCACAACUAGCAAGUAGAAUUCCAGCUAGAAGAAGAAGAAGACAGCAAGAAGGGGGAAAGGGCCGGAGAGAAAGAGGGGAGAAAACCAGAGAAGAAGUAGAAAUCAAGGGAAAAGGGAGAAGGAGGAAGCCAUAGGCAACAACCCAAGCAUUCUAUUUUUUAAUUCAUCAACUCAUCAACUGUCUCAAAUACGCAACAAAACAGAAAUAAAUAACAAAACAAAAACCCUAAUGAGAAGGGCUUGGGUCAAACCUGCUAAACAAGCUCAAUAAUAGAAAUAUAAAUAAUAAUCCAAAUAGAAUAUAACUAAUAGUCCAAAUAGAAAAUAAAUAGUAAAUGGAUGUUCGCAUCAAUACCCAAGUCUGAUAUUUCCUUGUCUAGCUUCUUAAGGUGUUCCUCAUUAGAUUUACUCCUAGUUUCAGCCAUACCCAAGUCACGUUGCUACUUUGAUGCCAAAUGUUAUAGUUGAGCUUCAAUUCUCAACCUGGGACACAAUCAAACACAGUGAUAAAUCAGAAAUUAAACAAAACUCAAC
rnacentral:lncRNA from 1 species